GGCUGUGAAGGCGAUCUGGCUUCGACAUCUGUCACCGCAUUGAUUGCCAGGGUUGAUUCGGCUGAUCUGGCUAGCUAGGCGGGUGUCCCCUUCCUCCCUCAAUGCUCCAUGCCUCCCUCCCGAAGCUGCGCGCUGGGUCGAAGAGGACGACCACCCCCGAGAGAAGAGGACCUCUCCUCAGUCAAGGGUAUACGAGGAGCUGCGCUCCUCUGCUAGAAUCUCCAAACAAGCUCUCGAGAUCAGCAAUGUUAGGAAAUUACUGCAAGGAGAGCCAGUGGGAGCUAAGAGGACAGGAAAUGCACCAGGCAGAGCUGCUGU
rnacentral:snRNA from 1 species